rnacentral:rRNA from 1 species
UACGGGGGGGGGCAAGCGUUGUUCGGAAUUACUGGGCGUAAAGGGUGCGUAGGCGGCUUUCUAAGUUGGAUGUGAAAACUAUGGGCUCAACCCAUAGCCUGCAUCCAAAACUGGAGAGCUUGGGUUCUGGAGGGGAAAGCGGAAUUCCUGGUGUAGCGGUGAAAUGCGUAGAUAUCAGGAGGAACACCGGUGGCGAAGGCGGCUUUCCGGACAGAUACCGACGCUGAGGCACGAAAGCUAGGGGAGCAAACAGG